rnacentral:rRNA from 1 species
UAAUACAGAGGGUGCAAGCGUUGUUCGGAAUUACUGGGCGUAAAGCGCGCGCAGGCGGAUCCUGUAAGUCUGGAGUGAAAUCUCACCGCUCAACGGUGAGGCUGCUUUGGAUACUGCGGAUCUGGAGACCGGUAGAGGCUGGUAGAAUUGCAGGUGUAGCGGUGGAAUGCGUAGAGAUCUGCAAGAAUACCCGUGGCGAAGGCGGCCAGCUGGG